GCCCGCCCUGGCUGGGGGAGGGAACCCCCGGCCAGCGGUGGGCGUGGGGCGGCUGCGGAGGUCCCGGGCCUGCGGAGGGCAGGGCGUCCCUGUGCGCGACCCACCCCAGGCAGCGGCGCCCGGCGGCAGGUCGUCCCCACGCGCAGAGCCCUGCGGCGCCGCAGGGUGGGGAUCCCGCGGGUGCCGAAGGGCGCGUCCCCCCCGCCCCGGGCCGCCGCGGGGCUCGCCCAGCCCAGGGUCCCGCCCCCGCGGUGUGGCCGGCGGCGGUCCUGCGGUGUGGACGGCGGCCCGCCGGAGAACCAGCCUCAACCUGAUCCCCAGCGCGUCUAAGCGAGCAGGAGGCUCGAACUUCCAACCCGAGAUGGAGAGUCAUUAUGCUUUACCAAUUGAGCCAGCUGGCGCCACCAGAGUUGAAUUUUAAAAUAGACCAUUUGGAUUUGUCUCCACUUGCAAGGGAAGGUGAGCAGCCUGUGCCCCUGGGAGCCCGGGAGCGGAAUUG
rnacentral:lncRNA from 1 species